AUUGAACGCUGGCGGCAUGCCUUACACAUGCAAGUCGAACGGUAACGGGCCUUCGGGUGCCGACGAGUGGCGAACGGGUGAGUAAUACGUCGGAACGUGCCCGAUCGUGGGGGAUAACGAGGCGAAAGCUUUGCUAAUACCGCAUACGAUCUACGGAUGAAAGCAGGGGACCGCAAGGCCUUGCGCGGACGGAGCGGCCGAUGGCAGAUUAGGUAGUUGGUGGGAUAAAAGCUUACCAAGCCGACGAUCUGUAGCUGGUCUGAGAGGAUGAUCAGCCACACUGGGACUGAGACACGGCCCAGACUCCUACGGGAGGCAGCAGUGGGGAAUUUUGGACAAUGGGCGCAAGCCUGAUCCAGCCAUGCCGCGUGCAGGAUGAAGGCCUUCGGGUUGUAAACUGCUUUUGUACGGAACGAAAAGCCUUCUUUUAAUACAGGAGGGUCAUGACGGUACCGUAAGAAUAAGCACCGGCUAACUACGUG
rnacentral:rRNA from 1 species